AAAAGGGAAGAGAAAACCCUCGACGUUCUCUGGGCAGGCCACGGGCGCUAUGCUCCGCCUCUCGCGGAGAGAAAACCUACUCCUCCCUGACCGACCGACUGACCGACCGACUGACCGACCGACCGCCGUCCUGGGGCUCCAGCCUUUGAAUCCCAACUUAAGCAACUCAAAUAAGACAACGUCUUGAAUAGUAAAACUAAUUGGUGUCACUGAAUUGGAUCGAGAGGCCUGAGGCUCCUGUGUUACCUUCUGAGAAAAAUCCACAUCCACCACUGCCACGGAAAUGGGACAGAGACCUAGAUUUUGACUCUCUUUUUUGGAAAGGAAAACAGAUCAAGACGCACAAAGGUCCAAGUGGCCUCUAUUGUCCAGGAACACAAGGCCAGGUGUUGGGGACAGGAGUUGGACCAGGAGGAGUGGCUGGAGCGGAAGAGAGGAGGAGGACUUGGAGCUGGGCGGCCCAGAGGGCAGAAUCUGCACUGCCACAGACGCAGUUCCCAGGAGUCUGAGCCCCGUGAAGUCCAGCAGUGAGUUUAGGAUAAAUAAUCUGCCCACAGGCAGAGGCAGGAGGAUGAGCAGAUUCUAGAGGCCUUCCCCAAGGGACGACUCUCCUGGGGGACUGUCUGGAGGACCAGCCGGGGAGCCAGCCGAACUUCCAGACAUUGUGGGGAACCAUCUUAUUGAUUCUGCCCAAAGCAGGGAGUAAGCAGUGCAGGCUGUAAAGAGGUGACUCUGCAGUUGGCUCAUUUUAAGAAGCAAAUCUGAUUAAAGCUUAUGUGACUCACAGAAGCACCGCAUAAGCACCAUGGUAGCACGUAAGUUAGCAUGAGCCUCCCGCUAAUGCCACAGCAGAGACCAGAGUAAUGGCCCAUGAAGCUCUGGGGCUCAAGAUGAGAUAACAUAGGAGGAGAGGCUGGAGUAGCUUCCACCCAAAGUCCACUCCCACGACUAAAACCUUCUAACCUACAAGGACAAGGUUCUAAUUGCAACGCUGUAUUUUGUCUGUCCUGUUCCUAAUUUGAGAAUGCUUUGUCUUUUCCUUUACAAGCUUUGCCUGCAUAGUAUCCAUAGCAACUGUGGAGCUGCACAUCCUCAUGCAUAGCUCCCCUUUAC
rnacentral:lncRNA from 1 species